UUCAGAAAGCUGCUAGAAUUAACAAGGAACUUGAACUUUAACAUGUAUAUAUUUGUCUUUGUUUCAGCUGAAAGGGAAGACCAAAGGAAGGCCUGUCAUGGGAUUUUAAUUUGGCCAUAUUGUGCAUUCACGGAGAACACCAAAAGCUGCAAACAUUUCCAAUGCUGAAGAUCAAAAACACAAAGAAAAUCAGUCGCAGCUAUCAAGUCAAACCAGUCCUGAUGAAUGAGGAAUGAACAUGAGCCCAAACAGAAAAAGACAAAGAGUUGGAAAGUUGCACCUUUCCAUUGGCAUGUAUGUGCUCAAGCAGUGCAGUUGUUUGUGGUACCAGCAUUGACGUUGAUCGCUCAAAAGACAGCAGUUAUAGUUACUUAAAGUCAGCAGUCGUAGUUUUUCACACAUGCAUCUUUUUAUAGCUCCUAGAAUGAGCAAAUCAACUGUGCCAUUUAUCUUUGGAAUUUGGGCAGGAAAUGACUGUAUAUGGAUGAAGCCAGUUGAUGAAGAGAUCAAUUCAACAGCCACCAAGUUCAGCACUGCAGCCUGAACCCAUCAGGUAUCUGCUAUGAGGACUGCAUUCAUGAAUAGCUCUACUGUGACAGCUCAGAUGUUACGGCCUAUAAAAGUAAACUUCACAACUGAUCAACUGCGAGAUAGUUAUGGAGGGAUUCUUUUGGACCAUACCUCCAGCAACCUCCAACAGGAGUCAAUGGACAUCUACACCAGGUGGUGUGUGAGGAGGACCGUCAGAGACUCCAGCCACCCGAGCCAUGGACUGCUCUUACUGUUACCAUCAGGCAGAUGUUAUCGCAGAACCUUCACCAGCAGACUGCAAGACCACUUCUUUCCACAGGCAAUCAGACUGAACUGAACUCGUACUAGUAACACUACACACAGCACAUCAACCUCAUAUGUACUACAGUGACUGGACUCUGGCUCACUAUUAUUCUGUACCCUGACAUUCAGUUUGCACUAAUUCAUACUGUACUGCACUGCAAUGAGAAAGUGCUCUUAGUAAAAUACCAAAUUUCAGCCUGCCUCUUAAAUAUGUUAUAGAUGUUUGCACAACGAAUAUGUUUUGAUAUACAUUUGUUUAAAAUUGUAUAGAUUGUAUACAAAGAUUGUAUUUUCCCAAUUUUAUUAUUUAACAUUUUAAACCACAUUACCCAUAAGCCUCUGCCAUUAAAUCGAUAGGAUGCGAAAAACAUGGCGCUGUUAUUUGUAGUUUAAUUAGGUUAUGCUCGGGGUUAGGGUUAUGAUCUCUGUAAAGUGCUAAUUUCUCACGAAAUAGCAACACUGAACUGUUAACUGAAUGUACUAAUUAUGUAAUAGAGUUUGGCUGUUCAUGCUGUAAUGCCGAUGCUUCUGAUUA